UACGUAGGGUGCGAGCAUUGUCCGGAAUUAUUGGGCGUAAAGAGCUCGUAGGCGGCUUGUCACGUCGGGUGUGAAAGCCCGGGGCUUAACCCCGGGUCUGCAUUCGAUACGGGCAGGCUAGAGUGUGGUAGGGGAGAUCGGAAUUCCUGGUGUAGCGGUGAAAUGCGCAGAUAUCAGGAGGAACACCGGUGGCGAAGGCGGAUCUCUGGGCCAUUACUGACGCUGAGGAGCGAAAGCGUGGGGAGCGAACAGG
rnacentral:rRNA from 1 species